GUUGUACUUCCUCCGUCCAACAAAAGAUGUCUGAAGUUUGUAAAAAUUUGGAUGUAUCUAAAUGUGACUUACUGUAUAGAUGCAUUCAAAUUUAGUCAAAGUUGAGACUUUUUUUGUUGGACGGAGGGAGUAUCAG
rfam:Brachypodium distachyon strain Bd21 chromosome 3, whole genome shotgun sequence.